CUAUCCUCAUCAGUUAGCAUAUGGAUGCAGAACACGGCGACGGCAGUGAUGAUGAUGCCGGUGGGCAUCGGCGUCCUGCAGUGGCUCCCGGAAGGAGACGCCGCGGUAAACCCCGCCGUGAACCAGUUCCGCAAGCCGGUGAUACCGGGAGUGAUUUACUACGCGGCCAUAAGAUGGAUCAGAACGCUGACAGGCACAGAUGUCAAUCUCAUAAUGGUGGGGUUGUGGUGGGCGAGCUCAUUCCCCGUGGAGACCCCAUCAGCUUCAGCACAUGGUUUCUCAUUGGUUUUCCUUGGCAGUCGCCCUAUGCUUUGCCCUCUUUUAUCUUUCCAAGGAAUCCUACACUCUUGCCCUCAGCCUCCUCGUGCCCCCUCUUCGUCGCCAACCGCAGGCACGGAAGGAGGGGGGAGUGACUCACCCUCGCGGCCAGCGAUGAUGAUGAGGGUCGAUGGGCGGGCGGGGGGCUGACGAGCAGGGUGGCCGCGUGUGAGGCCAAGCUAGGUUGCCUGCGGGGCGGAGGCGCGGCUAAGGUUGGGUAAGAAUUUCUUAGAAGGACGAGGGCAGAAUCAUCUUUCCAUUGUGGGAAUUUUCAAUGCUCUCCGAGAAAUUUCGGGAAUUCGUCCGCUAAACUUGCUUCAAUGGAUUUUGCUGAAAAGAUCUCUUACCUUCGUUCAUCUACGUACAAGUCCAAUGGAUUUCGCCGAAAAGAUGAUCUUGACAGUGUUUUCACUGGUGGUACUCCUGUGGAUGAUAAAAUGAUUCAGAUGAGGUUGCUAGCUGGAGAUCUCUCUUCCACGGACGUGGAUGAUGGAACAGUCGGUGUAAGCCCCCGUCAUGAUGAAGCAAUCGAGUGUGUAACAGGAAUGGUUAAUCCCAAUCCAUUUCUUCUCCGGUACAGGUGAUGAUGGCUACCGUUUUGUUCAUAAUCACAAAGCAGAAAGCAAGAGGGGGAGAAACUUUAUA